AUUCUGCUGCUGCUGCUGUGUGCAAUGACACCUCCCAGCCCCAUCCCCACCUGUGGGGCUGCGUGGGGCCAUACAGGGAUGUAUGGGGUUGUGUGGGGCCAUACAGGGCUGCAUAGGACCAUACAGGGCUGUAGGGGCUGCAUGGGGCCAUACAGGGCUCUAUGGGGCUGCAUAGGACCAUACAGGGCUGUAGGGGCUGCAUGGGGCCAUACAGGGCUCUAUGGG